ACCCAUUAAUAAAACCAUCACUAUCUCCAUUGACACCAUCAACAUCUCCACCAUCCCCAGCCCCUCUGUUACCAUCCCAUCACCUCCCGCACCCGAAUCGCGAUCCUCAUCAUCUCCAGCAUGCAAAAACUCUUGCUGGUCAUGAGCCAUCUUCUCCUAUGCAAAACGCUUGAAUUGCCUUGCUUCCAUUUGGAUCUCUGCCUUCUCCCUCUAUAACCUCAGUAUCAUUGACAUUGCCUCAUUUGUGGCCAUUGAAGAGGCAUUUCUCUCCUCUUCCAGUUCGGCAUGUAAAUCUUGUAUUGCCUACUGUUGGCUACUAACUGUUUCAUGAACCAAGCACCCCUGGUGGAGGAAGCUACUGAAGAACAACUACACCCACAAUUACCACACUUCACCAAAUCCCUCGACCGUGAAGGUGAAGAGGUAAGUGAAAGUACUCGCAAAUCCAUAAAGCAAUUAGCAUUAAAAUUUAAGAUGAUGGUGGAGAUGUUGAUGGUGUUGGUGGAGGUAGUGACAUGCCUGGAGGUGGUGAUGAUUUGCGUGCUAGAGAUCUCCCAACAACUGAAGCUGUGUCAUCACCAUUCGCUCCCAAGAAAGAUCUCCCAAUUUCUUCCUCUUCUUCACUAGAAGUAAUUGGCAAAAUCACCUCCAUUUAGGCUGCUUUUAGCCUUUUCAAGGAAACAUGGCAAAGCCUCACGUCACCUUGGAGGUUGCAAACGACGGCGUAGCUGUCAUUUCCAUGUUCAAUCCUCCCAUUAAUACCUUAGCUCUUCCAAUUAUUGCGGGCGGCUUGAAGGGCCACAAGGAAAAACGAUGUUCAAUGUAAUACCCGACUAGACUCCGGUAUCGGAAUUCCUACCGUCCAGUGGGAUCUCGGAUGUCGAAAACCUCUAGAAGGGAAAAACUAUGUUUUUAUAAAAUGUUUUAAUGUA